rnacentral:rRNA from 1 species
CCUACGGGUGGCAGCAGUGGGGAAUAUUGGACAAUGGGCGAAAGCCUGAUCCAGCCAUGCCGCGUGUGUGAAGAAGGCCUUCGGGUUGUAAAGCACUUUCAGUGGGGAAGAAAGCCUUGGGGCUAAUACCCUCGAGGAAGGACAUCACCCACAGAAGAAGCACCGGCUAACUCCGUGCCAGCAGCCGCGGUAAUACGGAGGGUGCGAGCGUUAAUCGGAAUUACUGGGCGUAAAGCGCGCGUAGGCGGUCUGAUAAGCCGGUUGUGAAAGCCCCGGGCUCAACCUGGGAACGGCAUCCGGAACUAUCAGGCUAGAGUGCAGGAGAGGAAGGUAGAAUUCCCGGUGUAGCGGUGAAAUGCGUAGAGAUCGGGAGGAAUACCAGUGGCGAAGGCGGCCUUCUGGACUGACACUGACGCUGAGGUGCGAAAGCGUGGGUAGCAAACAGGAUUAGAUACCCUGGUAUC